AAUGAACGUUGGCGGCGUGGAUUAGGCAUGCAAGUCGUGCGAGAACCGUAGCAAUACGGGGACAGCGGCGAAAGGGAGAGGAACACGUGGGUACCUACCCUCGGACUCAGGAUAGCCAUGGGAAACUAUGGGUAAUACUGAAUAACGUCUUCGGACCAAAGGUGUGAUUCCGUCCGGGGAGGGGCCCGCGUCCUAUUAGCUAGUUGGUGAGGUAACGGCUCACAAAGGCGAAGAUGGGUACGGGAUGUGAGAGCAUGAUCCCGCUCAUUGGGACUGAGACACUGCCCAGACACCUACGGGUGGCUGCAGUCGAGAAUCUUCGGCAAUGGGGGAAACCCUGACCGAGCGACGCCGCGUGCGAGAUGAAGGCCUUCGGGUUGUAAAUCGCUGUCAGUGGGGAGGAAGUGCCGGUGGGUUCUCCCAUCGGUUUGACCUAUCCGCAGAGGAAGGACGGGCUAAGUUCGUGCCAGCCGCCGCCGUAAGAC
rnacentral:rRNA from 1 species